rnacentral:rRNA from 1 species
GAUGAACGCUGGCGGCGUGCCUAAUACAUGCAAGUCGAGCGAACAGAUGAGGAGCUUGCUCCUCUGACGUUAGCGGCGGACUGGUGAGUAACACGUGGAUAACCUACCUAUAAGACUGGGAUAACUUCGGGAAACCGGAGCUAAUACCGGAUAAUAUAUUGAACCGCAUGGUUCAAUAGUGAAAGACGGUUUUGCUGUCACUUAUAGAUGGAUCCGCGCCGCAUUAGCUAGUUGGUAAGGUAACGGCUUACCAAGGCAACGAUGCGUAGCCGACCUGAGAGGGUGAUCGGCCACACUGGAACUGAGACACGGUCUAGACUCCUACGGGAGGCAGCAGUAGGGAAUCUUCCGCAAUGGGCGAAAGCCUGACGGAGCAACGCCGCGUGAGUGAUGAAGGUCUUCGGAUCGUAAAACUCUGUUAUUAGGGAAGAACAAAUGUGUAAGUAACUAUGCACGUCUUGACGGUACCUAAUCAGAAAGCCACGGCUAACUACGUG